UACAGAGGGUGCAAACGUUGUUCGGAAUCACUGGGCCUAAAGCGUGCGCAGGCGGUUCGCAAAGUCUGAUGUGAAAGCCCCGGGCUCAACCUGGGAACUGCAUUGGAAACUAACGGGCUCGAGUGUGGCAGAGGGGGGUGGAAUUCCACGUGUAGCAGUGAAAUGCGUAGAGAUGUGGAGGAACACCGAUGGCGAAGGCAGCCCCCUGGGCUAACACUGACGCUCAGGCACGAAAGCGUGGGGAGCAAACAGG
rnacentral:rRNA from 1 species